rnacentral:misc_RNA from 1 species
AUCAAUUUUUUAUUUUCAUCAAGGUACUUUUGAAUCUGCUCAGUGGUAAUGUUUGCGGGUGGAUAUGAAGGCAUCACUGGAAUCAUCUGCGGUGGCUGAUGCAUCUUGUACUCCUUGAUUUGCUCAAAAAACCCUAACCCUAGUCCCAAAAUGGAUAAACCCUCUGCAAGCGAGGCAAGUGAGAGUAUUUGAUUGGAGACAGACCGAUCUUUAAGGCGACGAGGUUUCUGGAGGAAUUUAAGACAAAGGUAAAGUUUUCUCAAAAAUUCAUUUUAUCG